rnacentral:rRNA from 1 species
AUACGUAGGCAGCAAGCGUUGUUCGGAAUUACUGGGCGUAAAGCGUGCGUAGGCGGUCGGCUAAGUUUGGUGUGAAAUCUCCCGGCUCAACUGGGAGGGUGCGCCGAAAACUGGCCGGCUAGAGUGCGGGAGAGGGAAGUGGAAUUCCUGGUGUAGCGGUGAAAUGCGUAGAUAUCAGGAGGAACACCGGUGGUGAAGACGGCUUCCUGGACCGUGACUGACGCUGAGGCACGAAAGCGUGGGGAGCAAACAGGAAUAGAUACCCUGGUAGUCCACGCCCUAAACGAUGCAGACUUGGUGUGCGUCCUUCAUUGGAUGCGUGCCGGAGCUAACGCGUUAAGUCUGCCGCCUGGGGAGUACGGUCGCAAGGCUGAA